rnacentral:lncRNA from 1 species
AACACCACCUGCCAACAUUCAGCCUCCUCUGCCCAUCAGCCUUGCUGACACAGGGAGUGGAGAUUUGUGUAGAGAAAUGACUCAUUCAAAUAUGACUUAAUCUAAACCGUAAGUGUAUGAUUUAUUAAUGUGCCACCAGGCCUUACACCAAGAGAGCCAUUCCAGAGAAAAGUCCUUUUUCUCCUGAGAACAGUGCCAGCAGCUGGCUUCGUGACAUUCUGGAAGCCCCGUGCAAUGCUGUCAGGAGCAUAGGGAUUUUACUUUAUCUCCCUUGCUUAUGCUCCACAUAACUGAAAUAUCUCACUGGAAGCUGCAGCAGUGCUGGCCCCUUGCACAGCCAUAUGUGACCACUGCAGAACAAUCAGUUGGAGAGACAGUUUGGACUACAUGGAGGGUGGAGAUAAGGACAAAGUGAAGAAUACACAGGAACCAGUGCCUCCUCCUGGAACUAUGCAACUCCAAGCUGCUUCCAUCAGCUGCUAGGUCCAGUAGGGAGGGACCUACUGAGAGAAGGUGCCUGCUUCCCUUUCCGCUGUGAUUACAGGAAACGCCACGAAGUGUCUGGAUCAAAGAACAGACUAUUGCUCACAGAGCACCUUCAUAGCAUUGUUCCUCAUGCCCCCGUUGCCCAAGGGGAUGGCAGGUUGAGGACCAGAUGUACUUGCAUGUUCAGGGGAUGCAGCACAGAAGAGGAACUCCAAAAUUAUUAUUAUUAUUGUUAUUAUUAUUAUUUUUGAGAUGGAGUCUCGCUCUGUCGCCCAGCCUGGAGUGCAGUGGCGUGAUCUCGGCUCACUGCAAGCUCCGCCUCCCGGGUUCACGCCAUUCUCCUGCCUCAGCCUCCCGAGUAGCUGGGACUACAGGCACGCACCGCCACGCCCUGUUAAUUUUUUUUGUAUUUUUUUUUAGUAGAGACAGGGUUUCACCGUGUUAGCCAGGAUGGUCUUGAUCUCCUGACCUCGUGAUCCACCCGCCUCGGCCUCCCAAAGUGCUGGGAUUACAGGCGUGAGCCACCGCGCCCGGCCGAACUCCAAAAUUAUUAAACUCUGAGCGUCUGCAGGUGACUGACACAUCUGCGCUUCCUUUCUUCCAGGGUGUGGGGAAGAGCGAGAAAAAGAUUUCCGCUCUGGAAGGUAAACAAAUACUCUCUGGAGAGAGAAGAGGAAUGUCCCUAGCAGAUGUCUCCAGAGAAGACAAGACUUUAAAUUCCGCCAGGGAAAUAUACAAUGUCUAACUUCUAAGGCACAUUUGCCAUUCAAUCAUGCUUUAACCCACGUUGCCAGAAAUUUUUGCUCACUAGGUUUUGACUGUACAGGAAUGUGAAAAUAUUCAUGAAGAGUUGUUUUCCAAUGCUAAAGAAUUGAUGUGUUUUAACAGUUGAAUUAAUUGUAUUGAUUAUGAUCACACCUACUUUUUAUAUAUCUUCAUUUCUAACGUUUCUGUACAAUCCUGCCUUUCCACCUGAUAUAGUUAGGCCUUGUGUCAUCAACCAAAUCUCAUCUUGAAUUGUAAUCGCCAUAAUCCCCACGUAUUUAGGGAGAGACCUGGAGGGAGGUGUUUGGAUCAUGGGGGCGGUUUCCCGCAUGCUGUUCUCAUGACCAUGAGAGUAAGUUCUCAAGAGAUCUGAUGGUUUUAUAAGCGUCUGUCAUUUCCACUGCUUGCACUUCUGUGUCCUGCCACCUUGUGAAGAAGGACGUGGUUGCUUCCCCUUCCACCAUGAUUGUGUUUCCUGAGGCCUCCCCAGCCUUGCAGAGCUGUGAGUCAAUUAAACCUCUUUCCUUUAUAAAUUACUCAGUCUCUGUAUUCCUCUGCAGCAGUGUGAGAACAGACUAAUACAUCACCACUUUAUUUACUUUACUCUCUCCCCAUACCGAGGUUUUCUACAUUUUCUUUCUAGGUCUCUACAGUUUCUGCAAAGAUCCUUUAUGGAACUCUUAGGGAAGCUGGGAUGUAUAAUAAAUAAAGGGCUCUUUUCUUUGAGUCCCACACCCAUUUUCUGUGUAUAAAAAUCUUCAACUCCACUUUUGUCUGUUCUAUUUAAAUGUGUGCACAUUUCCUUCUAAUGUUGUAUAUGAAAAAGAGACACCUCUUAGCAGUCUUUCAUAGAGCAAAAUUUUUUACUUUGAUAAAAUCUAAUUUAUCAAUAUUUUUAAAUUUUAUGGAUCAAUCAUGCUUUUGAGGUUGAAUUUAAGAAUGCUUUGCCUAGCCCUAGAUCCCAAGUAUCUUUUAAAAAUUAUUUUUCUAAAUGCAUUAUUUAUGUUUUACACUUAAGUCUAUAAUCCAUUUUGAGUCCAUGUGUAAGAUUUAGGUUAAGGUCAAGAUUUAUCUGUUUUUGUUGUUUUCUCUAUAAAUGUCAAUUGCUCCAGCACUAUUUGUUUAAAAGCCAAUCUUUCCUCCGCUGAGUUCUUCCUAUAAGUUUGUCAAAAGUCAAUUUGGCAUCUUUGUAUAAGUUUAUUUCUGGAUUCUCUAUUCUGUUUUAUUGAUCACUGCAUCUAUCCCUCUUGAUUAGCUAGAUAAUAAAUCCUACAAUAAGGUAGAAUUCUUCCCACUUUAUUCAUAUUCAAAAUAUUUUAAAGCUAUUCUAGUUUCUUUUUAUUUCCAUAUAUAUUUUAGGAUAAUCUUAUCUAUAUUUACAACAUAUGUUGCUAGGAUUUUGAUAGAAUUUGUUUUAAAUUUGUGUAUCAAUGUAGGGAAGACCUGACAUCUUUACUAUUACGUUGAUCUUCCAAUCAAUGAAUAUGGUAUAUCUCUCAGUUUAUAGCUAUUGUCUUUAAUUUAUUUCAUCAUGGUUUUUAGUUUUCAGCAGAGAAGCUUUAUACAUGUUUUGUUAUACAUGUAUAACAAAAGAAGCCUUAUACACUGACAUUUUAUAUUUUGAACAAUUGUAAAUGGUAUUGUUUAAAAAUUUUGUUGUCUAUGAUAGAAAUAAAAUUGAUUUUUGUAGGUUUAUCUUGUAACCUAUGACUUGCUGAGCUCGCUCAUUAGUUUUUUUAUUGUGAUAAAAUAUACAUGAGAUAAAUUUCAUCAUUAUAAUCAUUAAGUUUAGACAUCAAUUGCAUUAAGUACAUAAAUGCCUUAUGCAACCAUCAUCUCUAUCCAUCUCCAGACCCUUUGCAUCACCCUAAAAUGAAACUCUGUGCCCAUUAAACAAUAACUCCCCAUUCUGCCCUCACCCCAGCCCUUGGUAAUUACCAUCCUACCUUUUAUCUCUAUAAAUUUAACCAUCCCAGGUAACUCAUAUAAGUGGAAUCAUGCAGUGUUUGUCCUUUUGUAACUGGUUUAUUUCACUUAGCAUGAUGUCUUCAAGGUUUGCCUAUGUCAUAGCAUGUGUCAGAAUUUCAUCCCUUUUUAAACUUAAAUAAUAUUCCACUGUAGGCAUAUGCCACAUUUUGUUUAUUUGUUCAUCUGUUGAUGGGCAUUUGGGUUGUUUCCACCUUUUGGCUACUGUGAAUAAUGCUGCUGUGAUCAUGGGUAUGCAACUGUCUCCUGGAGUCCCUGCUAUCAAUUCUUGUGGGUAUAUACCCAGAAGUGGAAUUGUUGCAACAUAUAGUAAUUCUAUGUUUAAUUUUUUGAGGACCUGCCAUAAUGUUUUCCACAGUAGCUACAUUGUCUUAUAUUCCCAUUAAGAGUUCCAAUUUCCUCACAUCUUCACCAAUACUUAUUGUUUUCUGUUUUUUUAAAUAAUAGCCAUCAUAAUAAAAGUAACAUGGUAUCUCAUUGUGGUUUUAACUGCAUUUCCCUUUUUACUGGAUUGUUUGUAAUAUUGCUGUAAUUGAGUUGUAGGAGUUUUUAAAUAUGUUCUGAAUAAUUAAUUUCUUAUCAGAUAUGUCAUUUGCAAAUAUUUUCUGCCAUUCUCUGGGUUGUCAUUUCACUCUCUUGAUAGUGUCCUUUGAUGCACAGAAGUUUUGAAAUUUGAUAAAGUUUAAUUUGCGUAUGUAUUUAUUUUGUUGCUUAUGCUUUUGGUGUCAUAUCCAAGAAAUUAUUGCCAAAUUCAGUGUCAUGAAGAUUUUCCCCUGUGUUUUCCUCUAAGAGUAUUAUAGUUUUAACUCUUGCACUUAGAUUGAUCCGCUUUGAGUUAAUUUUAGUAUAUGGGGUAAGACAAGGGCUCAAAUUUGUUCUUUUGUUUGAAGAUUCUAGGUCAUUUGUGAUCUUUAGGAUUUUCUAUGUAGACAUUAAUGUCAUCUUCAAAUAUGAACAGUUUAUUUCUUCCUUUUGUAUAUGUAUGAAUUUACUUUCCUUUUCUUGCCUUAUUGCACUGGCUAGAGUUUUCAGUACUAUGAUGAAUAAAAUCAGUGAGAGCAGACACCCUUGCUUUGUUUCUAAUCUUAGGAGGAAAGCUUUCAGUCUUUCAUCAUUAGGUAUACUGUUAGUUGUAGGCUUAUUAUAGAUGCUCUUUAUCAGGUUGAGGCAGUUUCCUCCUUGGUUAAGACUUUCUAUUUUUCAUUUUCAGUUAUGACCAGGCAUGUUCAUAACUGCUCAUCAAAACUUUGAAUUAGUGGCUGCUUUAACAUCCUUCUCAGACAAUUCUAACAUCUGUUUUGUUGGUGGUGGCAUCUAUCAAUUGUCUUUUUCAUUCUGUUUGAGAUCUUCCUUGCGUUUGGUAUGAUUUUUUUAAAUAUUAUGUCAUGAAACUGCAUCUUAUUUAAAUCUUCUGUUUUAGUUGGCUAUGUCUGACAUCACUUCCCCAGGGGAAGGUGUUGUUACUGCUAGUGGAGGGUGAGAAUUAUGGCUCUCCACUGACAUUGUGGUGGGAUUGGUCCCAUUACCACUGGGCAGGGUUGAAAGUCCUGACUUUCUGCUAGGCCUUCUCUGACUUCAUCGCAGCAGGAGGAAAAGAUGCCUCUGGAGUUGAAGUCAGGUUGCACUGACACUGUGUGUGUAUGGAGGUAGGCUGGGGUGAAAGUGGAGACUCAUUACCACAUGGUGAGUAGUUUCCAGCUCUCUAUUUGGCCUUCUCUGAUACCACCCAGACAGGGACAUUGGGGAUACCUCAUUACAGCCUAGUGAGGGUCAAACUCUAGGCUCCCCACUCAGUCUUUGCUAUCAUGGACACUGUAGGACCAUAGUUUUUUCUGUGCUGUUUGCUUGAUGUGUCUUCCUUGGACCCUGAGUUCCAUAGCUGGUCUGCAUUCCUCUCUCCACCUUUAAGACGUCUUCUUAUGUUUAUUUCAUAUUUAACAUCCAGGGUGGUAAUUAGAGGGAAGAAUAGAGGGAAAAGUACAGUUGCACUUUGUUGUUCAAAGAGCAGUUUUGAACUGCACAGACCCAUUUCUCUGAGCACACCCAGGGAUGAUUGUACUUGUAUAAAAUUUUUUUCCUGGAUGCAGAAUUCUCAAUUGACUGUGAAAGUUCAUAACAAAGAAAACAGUGGGGAAGACAAAUCUGGAAAUGAGGAAAAUAAAAAUUAAAUAGUGAGACCACCCAUGGAGCUUGUGGCAAAGCCUGAAUUGAAUCCGCUGUAUCUUAAGAUUGUGCCUCAUUCUAAAUUUAAGUCACCCUUCUCAUUAUGAAAGUGUCACAACUUCUCAGUAGGUGAGGAGACAGUCUAAAUUUGAGAAAAGAAAGUUACAACAAAGGUUUUGAGCAAGCUGCUAAGUGGAUUUAUUCAUGUUUGAGAAAUCAAAUAUAUGGUUAAUGAGCUCUUUAACUAGAAGCCAACACUAGGGAGGAGUAGACAGAAGUCACGGGGAGGGAGCCCCCGGACAUUUCAAAAGACUUUGCCCUGCAACAUCUCCUCCACAUUUAAGCUUUUAGGUUAUUGUAGCCACAUCACAAGCAUGUUACCUACCCAGAUAUUGUCUGCGCAUCAUUCCCAAAAGCUUCCCUGGGUCUUCAUAAUAUUAAUGAGAUUCUCCCCCAGGUUAGACCCCUUUGGCUUGAGUCAGAAACAGAAUUAAUCCGGGGGACAAUCCAGCAGCACCCAUCUCUGGGUUGCAGAAAUAUCUGAGGUGACCAGGCAGUGUUUGGAGUCCCCUCAGUUAGCUAACAAAGUGAGUUCACAGCUUCCAAGACCCCAGGCUUUCCAGGCUAAUAAAGAGCUGAGGUUAUAGGCUCUCCUUAUCAAACGCUCUUUGGCAGCUGCCAUAACCAUUCCAAGUCUAGUCCUAGAAUAGAAAUGACGCGGUUUCAGGAGCUGACAGAUGGAACUUUAAGCCUUCCUUCCUGCCACAUCUGAAGUUCUUUUUUAAAAAAAUAGAAAACCAUGACAAUAAACACUCCUUGAAUGCCCUGUGGAAAAGUGUACUCCUCAGAAUUCACUAAAGUGGGGUGAAGCAGUGGGUUGUGGUGCUGAGAAAACAUCUCUUCCCCUCGGCAGUAUAUUGGAAUCUCAUAGAAACUUCUGUGGCUGGGAAGCAAACAUGCUCUCUGCCCCAUUGCUCUUAUUCAUCUUUAGACCUGAUAAUACAGUUUGAACUUCAAGUUGCACUUUAAAUGGCAUGCAUUUUUA